rnacentral:misc_RNA from 1 species
UAUCCGGGGGGGAGGGUGGAAUUUUUUGGAUCACAUUAAGGCCUGCACGAGGAAAAGGGGGGCGGACAUAAAAUCCCUCGAACUUUUUGUGCACACCGCGUGGGCCCCCCCGGGGGAUCGAAUCGAUCAGGAGGGGGCUUGCGUUUUCACACAAACCCCUUUUAAAAAGUGUAGAAUGACCCCACUUUGGGAUAACAAAAAGCAGAACAAAUUUCAAUACUGAUCUCUUGGCUCUCGCCUCCAUGAAGACCCCCCCAAAUGCCAUCCUAAUCUGAAUUGCCACUUAGUGAUCAUCGAUCUUUGAACGCCCCUUGCCCCCCUUGGAUUCCAGGGCACCCCCGUUUGGGUGCGUGAAAUCCCACCUUCCGGUUUCUUCCGGACCCAAGGAGCUUGACCCCCACCUUGGCUUUAUAAUACCUUCCCCCAGCAGUCCCUUAAUUAUUCCCGGUCCUCUUUGCUAUCUCGCUGUGAUAGAUGUUUCCUGGCUGGUUCUGGUCUUUGCUUUGGACCCCUCCACCGUCCACGGGCGGUUGGGCGGUCUCCUCCUCGGGACCCCUCCCCCCCGAACCGUUGACCAAUCGUGAACUCCCCUAAUUAGCUUUCAUGGCGGGGAACCUGUCGC